rnacentral:rRNA from 1 species
ACGAACGCUGGCGGCGUGCUUAACACAUGCAAGUCGAACGGAAAGGCCCUGCUUUUGUGGGGUGCUCGAGUGGCGAACGGGUGAGUAACACGUGAGUAACCUGCCCUUGACUUUGGGAUAACUUCAGGAAACUGGGGCUAAUACCGGAUAGGAGCUCCUGCUGCAUGGUGGGGGUUGGAAAGUUUCGGCGGUUGGGGAUGGACUCGCGGCUUAUCAGCUUGUUGGUGGGGUAGUGGCUUACCAAGCUUUGACGGGUAGCCGGCCUGAGAGGGUGACCGGCCACAUUGGGACUGAGAUACGGCCCAGACUCCUACGGGAGGCAGCAGUGGGGAAUAUUGCACAAUGGGCGGAAGCCUGAUGCAGCAACGCCGCGUGCGGGAUGACGGCCUUCGGGUUGUAAACCGCUUUCGCCUGUGACGAAGCGUGAGUGACGGUAAUGGGUAAAGAAGCACCGGCUAACUACGUG